rnacentral:rRNA from 1 species
CUACGGGUCGCUCCAGUGGGGAAUAUUGCACAAUGGGCGCAAGCCUGAUGCAGCCAUGCCGCGUGUAUGAAGAAGGCCUUCGGGUUGUAAAGUACUUUCAGCGGGGAGGAAGGGAGUAAAGUUAAUACCUUUGCUCAUUGACGUUACCCGCAGAAGAAGCACCGGCUAACUCCGUGCCAGCAGCCGCGGUAAUACGGAGGGUGCAAGCGUUAAUCGGAAUUACUGGGCGUAAAGCGCACGCAGGCGGUUUGUUAAGUCAGAUGUGAAAUCCCCGGGCUCAACCUGGGAACUGCAUCUGAUACUGGCAAGCUUGAGUCUCGUAGAGGGGGGUAGAAUGCCAGGUGUAGCGGUGAAAUGCGUAGAGAUCUGGAGGAAUACCGGUGGCGAAGGCGGCCCCCUGGACGAAGACUGACGCUCAGGUGCGAAGGCGUGGGGAGCAAACAGGAUUAGAUACCCUCGUAGUC